GGAACAGUGGCACAAUGGAUAACACAUCUGACUAUGGAUCAGAAGACUGUAGAUUUAAAUCCUUCCUGGAUCA